GGGCCCAUCUUCCAGCACAGUGUUGGAUGGUCUAAUCAUGAAGCUCCUAACACUGUCUGGUAAAGAUGGCCCC
rnacentral:pre_miRNA from 1 species